GGGGUUGAGGCUCAGAGGUAGAGUGCUUGCCUGGCAUGCAUGAGGCACUGGGUUCGAUCCUCAGCACCA
rnacentral:tRNA from 1 species